rnacentral:tRNA from 1 species
GGGGGUCUGGUUUAGGGGUAUAACAUUCCUUUCGCACUUUGUGAUUCACAACAGUAGACUAGGAAAGGUCUUGGGUUCGAUUCCCAAGUCCUCCA